UAUUGGAGCUGUUGAGUAUAUCUAGGUAAUCGUGUCGAACGCUUUUUUUUAAUGUAUCGUGUAGUAAAACUGCAUAAACCUAAUGUCAAGUUAAAGUGUACUGUUAGCUAGCUAACAUUAGCUGGCUGGCUCGCUAGCUAACGUUAAGUGUAUGCUCUCCACUUUCUGGAGGACCAAGUUUUGAAAUCAGUGGAAUUCGAGUAUGAUAGCUAAGGACUUGGAGAAAACACCAGUCUGGGUUACAUUGUCAAACUAAGGGCAACCAUGCAUGGUAUCAGACAAGAGACGUGUCCAACCAUUAUGUACAGUAGUGUAUCUUGCACAGUCAGUCACCAACGCUCUGGAUAACAUGAAAACUGCCUAAUCAGUUCUGCAAGGGACCUGAGCCCUAGGACCAUGCCUCAGGACUACCUGGUAUGAUGACUCCUUGCUGUCCCCAGUCCACCUGGCCGUGCUGCUGCUCCAGUUUCAACUGUUCUGCCUGCGGCUAUGGAACCCUGACCUGUUCACCGGACGUGCUUGUUGCACCCUCGACA
rnacentral:lncRNA from 1 species